ACUGCGCCUAGGGAUUAGGAUAAUAUAAAACUUUUACAGUACCACAGAGCACAUAAGUAGUUGAAGUCUUCUGUGACGAUACUUGAAACACAAUAUAAAUUUUUUUUCCAUAGCUUUUUACCUAUUUUGAAGCCAAGGAAAUUUCAUGGAUUAUAAAAUGAUUAAAUUAAACGAAAGGCAUAAUUUAAAAGAAAUACGUUUCCAUUGUAAGUUUGAGGUCGAAUAUUUACAAGGUUUGCUUACGUUUAUGAAUUUGUCCAUUCGGAUUAUGUGUCAGUAUUUAAAUGUUGUGAAUUUUGAAGGUAGGUAAUGGAGACCUAUUUUAUGUGACUGAAGUAGAGAAACUGGGGAGUUUAAACCACAAAGUGUAUUGGUAAUGUUCAUUUCUCACCUGUAUGAUUCGCAGCAUGAACGCAAGCGUACGUCAUAGAUACGUGUACUUAUUAUUACGUUCUUAAAAGAAGUUUAGGUUUAUUUAGUUAUAUUAACUUUAUAUUUCAGGAGCGGCAAAACGACCUAAAGUUCGGAGGCGUUUGUUUGCAGACUGAGAACGGACAUUAUAUGAAUUUCGCAUUCAUCAUUUCACCGACAAUUGGAAAAAAGACUGGAGCAAUUUACAAGCAGUUCAUAGGUCCAGCAAAAAGGUCUGAAUUGCGAAGGCAUUUGUGCCCUUAUUACUGAGGAAUGGCAUAUCAAUCUCCCUUUCAUCAUACAUCACCUUAUGUCACUUAAGUGGAAGCCAACAAUAGAAAAGUAAUUUACAGGCAGUCCACCGGUAUACAGUUUAUUUAGUAUUUAGUUUUCUUAUUCAUUAUUAUUAUAAAUGUGUCAUUUUGUUUGUUAUUUAAAAGUUCUGCAUCAUUACAAUCGUUCCUUUAUAUCCGAGAAAUAUUCAUUAAAGUUCCAUUAUUAAUCGA